GAGUUUGAUCAUGGCUCAGAUUGAACGCUGGCGGCAUGCUUUACACAUGCAAGUCGAACGGCAGCACAAGGAGCUUGCUCCUGGGUGGCGAGUGGCGAACGGGUGAGUAAUGUAUCGGAACGUGCCUGGUAGUGGGGGAUAACCACUCGAAAGAGUGGCUAAUACCGCAUGAGAUCUCUGGAUGAAAGCGGGGGACCUUUUGGCCUCGCGCUACUGGAGCGGCCGAUAUCAGAUUAGGUAGUUGGUGGGGUAAAGGCCUACCAAGCCUGCGAUCUGUAGCUGGUCUGAGAGGACGACCAGCCACACUGGGACUGAGACACGGCCCAGACUUCUACGGGAGGCAGCAGUGGGGAAUUUUGGACAAUGGGCGCAAGCCUGAUCCAGCAAUGCCGCGUGCAGGACGAAGGCCCUCGGGUUGUAAACUGCUUUUGUACAGAACGAAAACUCUCUGGUUAAUACCUGGGGAG
rnacentral:rRNA from 1 species